rnacentral:rRNA from 1 species
GACGAACGCUGGCGGCGUGCCUAACACAUGCAAGUCGAGCGGAGUCGAUCGACGGAAGCCUUCGGGCGGAAGAUGGUUGACUUAGCGGCGGAUGGGUGAGUAACGCGUGGGCAACCUGCCUCGAAGACCGGGAUAACAGCCCGAAAGGGCUGCUAAUACCGGAUGUGGUCAAAGAUCCGCAUGGAUUUUUGAUUAAAGGGGAAACCCGUUUCGAGAUGGGCCCGCGUCCUAUCAGCUAGUUGGUGAGGUAAAAGCUCACCAAGGCGACGACGGGUAGCCGGACCUGAGAGGGUGACCGGCCACACUGGAACUGAGACACGGUCCAGACUCCUACGGGGGCAGCAGUGGGGAAUCUUCCACAAUGGGCGAAAGCCUGAUGGAGCGACGCCGCGUGAGCGAAGAAGGCCUUCGGGUUAGUAAAGCUCGUGUCGUGGAGGGACGAAGGAAGUGACGGUACCUCGGAGACGCCACGGCUAACGUACGUCGCCAGCAGGCCGACGGUAAAAGUCGGUAGUCGUA